rnacentral:piRNA from 1 species
CAAACAGAGGAAUGUGCGUGCCACGUGGU